rnacentral:lncRNA from 1 species
GGCAAUGAGUAUAGUUCCGAAGGAGACGAUCGCGGUGAUUGCGCAAAGCAUCGGCAUCGCCAACCUCUCCUCCGAUGUCGCCCUCGCCCUCGCCCCCGACGUCGAAUACCGCCUCCGUGAGAUCAUGCAGGUUGUGCAUAAAACAUCGUCCUUCUCUUUAGGGUUUUGGGUUUCCAAGUUCCAGUCCCUUGAGCUUGAUUCUCUUAUUUUUCUUUUAUGUGAGCUCUAACAUGGUGAGAUGAUGCGCAGGAGGCGAUCAAGUGCAUGCGCCACUCAAAGAGGACAGUCUUGACGGCGGAGGAUGUGAACAGCGCGCUUAGUCUGAGGAACGUCGAGGUAGGUUCCAUUUGCGUGGGACUUCUAAGUUCCAAAUUUUGUUUCUUUUUCUACUGUUUUUUGGAAAACAAGAAGAUUUACUGGGUUUUAACUCGAUGGGUUUGUGAGAUUCGUGGUUACAUUGGUUCCAUUUCUUAAUGCAAGGCCACUAGAUCUGUUGAUUGUAAAGGUAGAAAUUUUAGUUUCUGGCGAUAAAAAUUUAUUCUUUCCGUGGAUUUAACGAAUUUGUUCAGGGAAUAAACACCAAUUUUCUUCUUCUUCGUAGCUCAUGAAUCCCAACUUGUUAAUCUCCUGCGGUUGACCAACAUUUAGGACCAUGAAAACGUCCAUUGUUUAAACUUUUACUUUGAGAAAUACGGUGGUUUCUUUUUUGCUUUCUAUUAGAAUCAAGUAAUUCUUUACAAUGGUUUCGUGGUUUUCUUAACAGCAUAUAAGUUCCUUUAAUAUUAUGUAGAAAGCAAAGGUAUUUGUGCUUUGAGGAUCCUGAAUUGGGUUGGGAAGCACAACAGAUAUGUUUGAAACUUGUCAAACAGAUAGUGUGCUUUCUUUCUUAGUUUUAAUUGGAUGGAGUUAAACAAUAGUUAUCUUUGAUGUGCUUGUUUAUCUCUCAGCCUAUUUAUGGAUUUGCAUCUGGGGAUCCUUUGCGGUUCAAAAGGGCUGUAGGGCACAAGGAUCUUUUCUAUAUUGAUGACAGAGAUGUAGAUUUCAAGGAGGUACGAGUAUCUUUUUUGUUGUAAUUUAUAAAUGCUCCAUGUACACUCUGUUUCUUUUAUGGGGGUUGGGAAUAUACAGGUCAUUGAUGCACCCUUACCCAAAGCACCACUUGAUACUGCUGUUGUGGCUCACUGGCUUGCUAUUGAGGGGGUCCAACCUGCGAUUCCAGAAAAUGCUCCCGUUGAAGGUUUUUUUUUUUUUUUUUUUUCACUAUGUUCAUGACCUAACUGAGAUUCUUUCUUGUUGGAGUAGCUAGUUUUCUGCAAAUUCUUCCUCAGAAAAGAUGAAAAACUAUGGUUUAUGGUUUGAUAGCUGGAUGAAAUUUAGAUCAGAAAGAAGUAUUGUGGAUCUAUCUCAUAACACCAACAUCUAAAUAAUUUAGAAUGUGUUCUAAUUUUUUCUUUUGAUUAGUUAGUUGAUCAUAGACUUGUCACAGCAUGUGACGACCACACUCUGGUAGUUCAUUAGACAGAAUUUCCGAAAUUUUAAGAUAUCUUCUAUUCCUCUUUGAAGCAAAUUGCUUAGUCGACCUGAAAUUUGAUACUUGUUUUUACAUUACUUGAAUAGGCUAACUGGAAUUAGUCCUAAUCCUUAAACUGGAAGUAGAUGAAUCAUAUAUUCAUGCCUAUAGAUAUUUAGCAGCAUCAGUUAAUAUUUCAAGUCUUACGUAAGAUUAUCAUCAUGAUAUCAUGUCUUUGAGUUCUGAUACAUGAAGAUCCUGAAGCGCACAGGAAAAUGCAGUUAAUAUUUAGCAGCAUCAGUUAAUUGAUUGCAAACAUAUGUACCACAUAGGUAUUCGUAGUUACAAAAGUUGAAUAUAUAUUGAUUGUCUAUAUGGUCACUUAUACGAGACUUAAUUGUGUAAUUUUCAUAGAGAGACCAAAAUUUUAUUCCCUUGAAACAUUAGAAAUACUGCUUAUAUGCUAUUUUCCAGGAUCGAUUUGAAGUUUCCAGUAUGCAUCCUGAGAAAGCAUGUACACGACAGAUCUAAUACCUUAUAUAAAUUUCUAAACAUUGAUGGAGUAACUAUAAAUUUCAAAACUUCACAUUCAUGUAAUGGGCACUAGUUUGUUAAUAUAUCUGUAUUGAGAUAUUUGCUAGUUACUUUAUCUUCUUUCUUGCUCCCCAAAUCACCACUACAAACUCUGGAUACUAUUUGUAGUAUUAAUUUUGGUCUUGGUUUUAUUGGAUUUCCAACCUUUAUUUGAAAUUAAUUUUUGUGCCUAUUAUUUCUAGCAAUUGUAGCCCCGUCAGAAAACAAAAAGUCUGAGAACAGCAAGGAAGACGGGCUUCUUGUUGAUCUUAAACUUCCUGUUAAGCACGUACUAUCUAGAGAACUCCAGGUACUUUUCCUUGCAGGCUUCUGAACUUUCUUGGCUUUUACUGUUACAGGUUAUUUGAGCUUCUAUGAAAGAAUUGCCUAUCAUAUUAUCUAGUUACUUUCUCAUUGCAGCUCUACUUUGACAAAAUCACUGAGCUUACAGUGACUAGGCCUGAGUCCAUCCUUUGCAAAGAAGCAUUAGUGAGUUUAGCAGUGGAUUCAGGAAUUCAUCCAUUAGUUCCAUACUUUUCAUACUUCAUUGCAGACGAGGUGAAGUUUGCUAAAUCAAUUUAUCUGUUGAAUAUAUCCUCUUAGGUCAUAGUUUAUAAUUGUUUCUAUCACAGGUUGCCCGAAGCUUAAAUGAUCUUCCUAUCUUGUUUGCUUUAAUGCGUGUCGUCCGGAGCCUUCUCCAAAAUCCACACAUUCACAUAGAGCCAUAUGUAAGUCAUCUUAUUUGAAUUGUACGUGGAGUGUUUAUUGACAUGAACUUUGAUUUAUGUUCUCCGAUCUGUUCCCAUAAUUGAGUACCAUGAGUUUUCUGCUUAGCGUCAACCUCUCCUUGCAAAACAUACACUGGACUGCUGAAAUGUUGUACAGCCAUGUACAUUCCUUCUAAUAAAGAAUAUUCUCAUCUACAGUUACAUCAGCUGAUGCCAUCGAUUAUAACAUGUGUUGUUGCCAAAAGGUUGGGGAGUAAAAUAACAGAUAAUCACUGGGAACUGAGAGACUUCUCAGCAAAUCUAGCUGCAUCAGUAUGCAAAAGGUCAGACGCUCUGCCAAAAUGUAGAACUUCAUUCUUUUCUAUUCAGUUAACAAUUUUUUAAAGAGUCUACAAGUGUUGCUAGUAACAGAAAAUAAACAGGGCUCCUCAUGCAACUCUUUUGAACACACAGAAAACAUUUAGAUAUUACAUGCAACUGAAUAAUGCCGAAACAAAACAAAAAAAAAUUUAAACAUUCCUAUGUAUGUGCUUGUAUGAACAUCUCUUUGAUUGGCUAAUCCUGUAUACCCCCUAUUCGUCUCAGAACAUCAUCUGCGAACAUCUUGCAUGCUUUAAUCCUCCCCGGAGAGCUUAACUAUUUUGAUAUACUGUAGGCACUAUGGUUAUGUGGAAAAAAGAAUACAAGAUCAGGAACAAACAUAUCUAUGUAUGGAUCAGGGAUGAGACAGUUGGGCUUAAUUUUAGAACUAGGAAUGACCUGCGGCUCAUGCUGUGCUUCUUGUGAUGAUUUUUGUGGCUUUUAAAUCUCUCCCAGCAUUGCAACGAUGGACUUGUGUUUCUAGUUUAAAAUGCACUUUUAAUUGCACCUUUCAAGAUGCAGUUUUUUUGAUCUUUUGCCAACUCAGACUAUAAAAUUACUAGUUUGCUAAGCAUAAGUAAUCAAGUGUAACUGAGAGAACAAAGUGAAAUUUGGACAUCUAUAUUAUGUCCAACAUAAUUUUCUGUAGACAAACCCACUCAGAAGUAAUUGACUUGUAGGGUUUGUACAAUAACCAAUACAUGGCUUCUGAUUGUCAGUGGUUAAUUCACUUGUUUAAGAUCCCAUGUCAUCAGAAAAUCUUUUUGUUUCAUACUGAAAAACUUAAAUAUAAACAGCCAUUAAUUUGCAUUCUUUUGUAUGCUCCAGCAAGUCAUUGCAGUUUAUCCUUCUCUGAUGGUUGUCUUAAAGGAUAGAUAAAAGUUUUGAUAUUGAUGACAGACUUCAAGUCUCGGAACAAUUUAAGCUUUUAUUCUUGCUGGAUUUAUGUCAUGACUUGACAUACACCUGAGCACUUUAGUUACAUUCUUAUAAUGAAUACUAAGCAUUUCAUAGGGUUCUGGUAACUUUUACCUCCUUAAAAGUUGUGAUAUUGAUGACAAGCAUACAUAUACGAUCUUGUAUACUAUGAAUUCAAGUCCCGGUUGAUAGUUUCUGUACUUUUAGAGGACUUUUAGAUAACUUUCUGUAACAAAUUUGCUGGAUACAACAGAUAUGGUCAUGUGUAUCACAAUCUGCAGUCCCGGUUGACAAAAACACUGAUCAAUGCUUUUCUGGAUCCAUCUAAAGCACUGACACAACAUUAUGGUGCCAUUCAAGGGCUUGCUGCAUUGGGAACUAGUGUGGUACUUCCUUUAACUGUCUUUCUUGCAAUGUGGUUCUCUCUUUCUAAUAUGAUAGAUGUAUCUUAACCUUGCUAGGUACGUCUGCUAGUUCUGCCUAACCUUGAGCCAUACCUGCAACUUCUACAUCCAGAGAUGCAACUGGAAAAGCAGAAGAAUGAGAUGAAAAGAAAAGAAGCUUGGCGAGUAUAUGGUGCCUUACUGGUACUUUUUUGUCCAUUUCUUCAGUUACAUCUCAAAGUUAUUUGUGAAGACAUGAUUUUUAUAUGCAGAUGCAAUAAAGACUUACUAGAAUGCAUAUCUCAGCGUGCUGCAGGUAAAUGUUUGUAUGACCGGCUCAAGUUGUUCCCAGGUUUGUUAUCUCCUCCAAGACAUCCAGGUUGGAGGAUUAAUGGGAGAGUUGCAACUAGCCAUUCCAGUAAGCAAUCUUGUUUAUUCUUGAAUCAGUUUUUUUUCCACCAGAUUUUCAUUCUAUAUAUCUUUAUUCUAAAUAUCUUAUGCCAUCAUCAUCUUGUGUUGCUGUUUUUGUUCCACAUGGUUUUAAAAGUUGAGUUUAUUAUUCAUACACAAUAGCACUUUGUCAGCACCAUUGGUGGUACUGAUACAGUGAGGAGUCUGCAAGAGCAAUAGUCACAUGUGCAAGAGCGAUAUGGUCUUUACCAGCUAAUCUAGGAGACAUCUUUGGAAAUAUACCAGUUGAGGUUUCGAACCCUCAAACUUUGGUAAGAGGUUACUAGGAGAAUUUUCCACUUAAGUAUGUCGGAUGAGGGUUCGAAACCACAUCCGACGUACUUAAGGAGAAAGGUGGAUUUUUGAUAGUGUAAUAAGGUUUGGAUUAUUGCAGCAUUGGUAUUGGUAAUAGCAGUAUUAAUUAUACGAGGCUCUAGAACCAAAUAAAGCAAUAACUAGAGAAUGAAAUAAUCUUAAUUUUUAAGGAAGCUUUAGAUCUAUGCGGUGUAGUCACAUUCCAGGACAACUCAGACCUUUUGGCUAAACUACAAUGGACAUGAUCAGUUUGUUUAAAAAAUCCAUUGAUGAUUCUGAAUCACUGGUGGUGAUACUAAUUUUCCUGUUCUGACUCUCGGAGACAAGACAAAGUUUACAAAAACCUAUUAGAAUUCACAGGAAUGCUGCUGUUUGUAUGGACGUUGUGCAUGUUUUGUAUGACACGGUUUUAAAUCUCGUCUAGUACUAAUGAAGUAACCUACUAGACUGGUAAGGUAUUGGUGUACUGCUCUAUCUGAUGUUGCUUGCAUGUAUAUUGUGCAUGUGUUGUCUACCACAAGGAUUUAAAUCUCGAUCUAGUAUUGGUUUUGGUAGCUUAUUGGACAGGUAAGGUAGUAGUACACCGGAUGAUAGGUCGACAUGUACUGUUCAAUAUCAUUGAAUAAAAUAACAAAAGUAAAAAUGAAUGAUAUUGAACCGAUAGCUAGUUAUAUGUUUCAGUAUUGGUGGAUUGGUAAAUAUCAGUCUGUUCUGGCCGAUAUAGUCAAUGAUUGAAAAUUUUGAUCUGAUAAUUAUAGAUUUACAGUUCCGUUUAUGUAUCUAUCGUGGAUGGCCUCCCGCUUCACAAUAAUUGUAUAUGCAUCUGACAAGGCUAAUUGUGCCAUUAUGUUAAUCACUUUGCUGCCUGAACUCAACCUCCCAUGAGCUCACUAUACAUUUUUGUUGUCUUCUUGAAGACAUGAAUUAAAGGAGAUGCAUGACUUGGUGAUCUGGCACAAACAAACUAGUCUAACAAUAGCUGCUUCUAUUACUGCUUUUGUUUCUACUUGAAUUUAUCUUCUCUCCAAAAAUUAAAUAUCAUGGGACAUUCUCAUAGUUGAGCGUGAUUCGCGUCGUCAAAUAGCUUGCAGAUGCCACUGUACUUUCCCUAAGAGUUAUUUGUUUUCGUUAUGUAACUAGACAAGCGCAUGUCAAGCACCAACCUCUCAUCGCAGCAGCCACCAUUCAAGAAGGUUGCAGCUGAUGGACCUACAGGUGCAAUGCAACCCAUUGCCAUGACAGCCAACUUGCAGGGUGCACCGGAUGGAUUCCCUACACGGUCAUCUGGAACAGGUGUUGGGCAACCUUCUACCUCGGGGCAGGUUCCAAUGAAGACGACCGGAGGCAGACAAGAGAAGGGUGGCAGCGUGGCGCCGAAGGGAUCUGCUGUCUUGGCCCAGGCUUGGAAAGAGGAUCUGGAUGCGGGACGUCUUUUGGCGUCUCUAUUUCAGUUGUUUGGUGAAGGUGUAUUCUC